GACGCACGCUGGCGGCGUGCCUAAUACAUGCAAGUAGAACGCAGUUGCGAACGGGUGAGUAACGCGUAGGUAACUGCCUGGUAGCGGGGGGUAACUAUUGGACACGAUAGCUAAUACCGCAUCCUACCAGAUGCACCUGCGUUGUAUUAGCUAGUUGGGGGGGUAACGGCUCAGCAAGGCAACGAUACAUGGCCGAGCUGAGAGGGGGAUCGGCCAACACGGGAACGAGACCAGGCCCAGAAUUCUAAGGGAGGCAGCAGUAGGGGAUCUUCGGCAAUGGACGGAAGUCUUACUGAGCACAGCCGCGGGAGUGAAGAAGGUUUUCGGAGCUGAAAGCUCUGUUGUGAGAGAAGCGGUAUCUGACCAGAAAGGGACGGCUAACUACGUGCCAGCCGCCGCGGUAAUAC
rnacentral:rRNA from 1 species